UACGUAGGGGGCUAGCGUUGUCCGGAAUCAUUGGGCGUAAAGCGCGUGUAGGCGGCCCGGUAAGUCCGCUGUGAAAGUCGGGGGCUCAACCCUCGGAUGCCGGUGGAUACUGUCGGACUAGAGUCCGGAAGAGGCGAGUGGAAUUCCCGGUGUAGCGGUGAAAUGCGCAGAUAUCGGGAGGAACACCAAUGGCGAAGGCAGCUCGCUGGGACGGUACUGACGCUGAGGCGCGAAAGCGUGGGGAGCAAACAGG
rnacentral:rRNA from 1 species